AUGGGAAAAACAUCGCCCAUUCCUGCUAACAAAACCAGAGAGAGAAAAUUGGAGCUACCUGAUGAAAUAGCAGAAGAUUCGAUUGAUAGCGAGAGGACGGUAAGCAAUGAUUCUGUGGGGAUCGCAUACUGUGGCAGCCAAGCCGAAGAUGACGACCUGGAUGCAGAUUCUGCUAUGGUAUUACCUGCUAUCGGACGGAAGCAAGCAAGAUCUGAUGGGCAUGGUUAUACCGAUGGCCAUGAGAUUGAUUCUGCCUCCCAUGCUGAGAGGGUCGUUGUUGUCAGCCCAGAAUCUUUACCAGUAGCACAAACCGGAGACUAUGUAGAUAUACCUCUCCCUAAGUGGCUAAAGGAUAUAGAUUCAGGAGCAGGAAUGUGA
rnacentral:rRNA from 1 species